rnacentral:ncRNA from 1 species
AUAAAGGUUAUGAGAAAGAGGAGUACAUAUCAUAACACUAUUUAAAGAGAAAGUGUCUGUUGCCGUUGGCUUCGCUGAGAGGAUGCUGGUAGUGAUGAUAUGGAAGGUAGCUUUUGAACCGGACACUCAGAAAUGAUGGCUUUUAUAGCAAUUUAUCAAUAAGUGUCCCCGCGUUAUCUGCGUUAUCGGAUAGAGUAUUUAAGUUUAUCUUAGAUGCUUAAUGAGGCAAAGAGUAUAUCUUUGUGAACUAAGGUGGUACCACGUUAAUUACGUCCUUAGC